UGCAAAUGCUGCUAAGGUAGGUGGGAGCGACCAAGAAGAAUUAGAAUGGGACAGCUACGACAAGAUCAAAAGAGAGAUAGCUCUCGAACGACUUCAGUUGGCUGCAGAAAAGGCCAAGGCAAAAGAAAUCACACGCAUACGAGCUGAGAGAGCAGCACAGAGAAAGACGGAAAGGAUGCAGAGACUUGUUCAAAGGAGAAAAGAACGAGAAGAAAAGCAAAAAGUUGAAGGAAAAACGAAGAGACCAAGAAGACGGUCAAAGCAAGAGAAAGAAGAGUUAGCUGUUGCUGAAGAAUUGAAACUCAAGGCGAAAUUAGUGAAGAUUCAGAAGAAAAAGUCCACACUUAGCCAUGUUUGUAGAGAACAUCGACAAGCUUGGGAGAAACUCGAUGUAGCAUUCAUAAAGAGACCUCAAGUACAAAAAACAGUUUCUCUUGCAGAUCAGAUUCGUGCUGCCAAGAAGAGAACAAUGGAUGUGAAUGAAAAAGCCUUUGGUAUUACAUCCUCCAACUCUCAAUCUAUUGAAG
rnacentral:misc_RNA from 1 species